rnacentral:rRNA from 1 species
UGAACGCUGGCGGUAGGCCUAACACAUGCAAGUCGAACGGCAGCACAGUAAGAGCUUGCUCUUACGGGUGGCGAGUGGCGGACGGGUGAGGAAUACAUCGGAAUCUACUUUUUCGUGGGGGAUAACGUAGGGAAACUUACGCUAAUACCGCAUACGACCUACGGGUGAAAGCAGGGGAUCUUCGGACCUUGCGCGAUUGAAUGAGCCGAUGUCGGAUUAGCUAGUUGGCGGGGUAAAGGCCCACCAAGGCGACGAUCCGUAGCUGGUCUGAGAGGAUGAUCAGCCACACUGGAACUGAGACACGGUCCAGACUCCUACGGGAGGCAGCAGUGGGGAAUAUUGGACAAUGGGCGCAAGCCUGAUCCAGCCAUACCGCGUGGGUGAAGAAGGCCUUCGGGUUGUAAAGCCCUUUUGUUGAGAAAGAAAAGCAGCAGGUUAAUACCCCGCUGUUCUGACGGUACCCAAAGAAUAAGCACCGGCUAACUUCGUG